AUUGAACGCUGGCGGCAUGCUUUACACAUGCAAGUCGGACGAGUGGCGAACGGGUGAGUAAUAUAUUGGAACGUACCGAGUAAUGGGGGAUAACCAAUCGAAAGAUUGGCUAAUACCGCAUAUUAUUCGAGCGGCCCAUAUAUGAUUAGCUAGUUGGUGGGGUAAAGGCCUACCAAGGCGACGAGCAGUAGCGGGUCUGAGAGGAUGCUCAGCCACACGGGGACUUAGAUACGGCCCAGACUCCUACGGGAGGCAGCAGUGGGGAAUUUUGGAGAAGGGGCGCAAGCCGUAUCCAGCCAGGCCGCGUGUCUGAAGAAGGCCUUCGGGUUGUAAAGGACUUUUGUGAGGGAAGCGGUACCUAAAGAAUAAGCACCGGCUAACUACGUGCCAGCAGCCGCGGUAAUUC
rnacentral:rRNA from 1 species